rnacentral:rRNA from 1 species
CAGCAGCCGCGGUAAUACGUAGGUCCCGAGCGUUGUCCGGAUUUAUUGGGCGUAAAGGGAGCGCAGGCGGUUUAGUAAGUCUGAAGUUAAAGGCAUUGGCUCAACCAAUGUAUGCUUUGGAAACUAUUAGACUUGAGUGCAGAAGGGGAGAGUGGAAUUCCAUGUGUAGCGGUGAAAUGCGUAGAUAUAUGGAGGAACACCGGUGGCGAAAGCGGCUCUCUGGUCUGUCACUGACGCUGAGGCUCGAAAGCGUGGGUAGCGAACAGGAUUAGAUACCCCCGUAGUCCCUGUCUCUUAUACC